GUAGAUACAAAAAACUUCAACGUGACAUUCACUUACAAAUUUAAUACCUACCAAACCCCUAUGUCCAUUUUUUUUAAAAAUAAAAUAAAAUCCAACUUCUCAUUCAUUUUCCUUCUACUUCAUUCUCACUCUAUAUAUAUAUAAAGAAAUUGUGAUAUUGAAAAAUUAGAAGUAUUAAAACUAUAUAUUAUAAGCUUUAUAUUAUAUCUUCGAUUUUAAUCAUGGCAUUACGUAUUAGUGAGUUGUUUGCCGCGGCUUUAAUAUAUAUCAUACUCCCUCUGUCCCAAUUUAUAUGACUCACUUUCCUUUUUAGUCAGUCCCAAAAAGAAUGACACAUUUCUAUUUUAAGUAACAAUUUGCCUAUGAAAUGUCUUUUUUACCCUUAAUGAAAUGAUUUACAACCACACAAAUUUCUAUCAUUCAUUUUGGACCACAAGUUUUAAAAGUCUUUCCAUUUUUCUUAAAGUUUGUGCCAAAUCAAAGUACAUCAUAUAAAAUGGGACGGAGGGAGUAAUUAAAUAAAAUCGGAGGGAGUAUUACAAUUUUUCUCCGUACCAAACACACCUUGGUCAUGCAAGUAAAAUAAUAAAAUAAUUCGUAUGAUUAAUAUUUAAAAUAACCGACUGAAUGCUGAGAUCAGUCAUAUACUUGGCAAUUGGCAGGUGUAAAUUGUACUCCCUCUGUCCCAAUUUAUAUGACUCACUUUCCUUUUUAGUCAGUCCCAAAAAGAAUGACACAUUUCUAUUUUAAGUAACAAUUUGCCUAUGAAAUGUCUUUUUUACCCUUAAUGAAAUGAUUUACAACCACACAAAUUUCUAUCAUUCAUUUUGGACCACAAGUUUUAAAAGUCUUUCCAUUUUUCUUAAAGUUUGUGCCAAAUCAAAGUACAUCACAUAAAAUGGGACGGAGGGAGUAGUACAUAUUAUUAUUUCAAAAUUAAUAGCCACCGUCCGGGAGCGGGGGCGGAGGCUACCGCCGGGUCCAACGGGGUGGCCGGUGAUCGGAGCACUAUCACUUUUAGGUUCAAUGCCACAUGUUGCACUUGCAAAAAUG
rnacentral:lncRNA from 1 species